AGCGAACGCUGGCGGCAGGCUUAACACACGCAAGUCGAGCGCACGUAGCAAUACGUGAGCGGCAGACGGGAGAGUAACACGUGGGAACGUACCCUUCGGUUCGGAAUAACUCAGGGAAACUUGAGCUAAUACCGGAUACGUCCGAAAGGAGAAAGAUUUAUCGCCGAGGGAUCGGCCCGCGUCCGAUUAGCUUGUUGGUGGGGUAAUGGCCCACCAAGGCGACGAUCGGUAGCUGGUCUGAGAGGAUGAUCAGCCUCACUGGGACUGAGACACGGCCCAGACUCCUACGGGAGGCAGCAGUGGGGAAUAUUGGACAAUGGGCGCAAGCCUGAUCCAGCCAUGCCGCGUGGGUGAUGAAGGCCUUAGGGUUGUAAAGCCCUUUCGGCGGGGAAGAUAAUGACGGUACCCGCAGAAGAAGCCCCGGCUAACUUCGUGCCAGCCGCCGCCGUAAAAC
rnacentral:rRNA from 1 species